GGCAGUGCAAGGUGCUCGGUGACGGCCUCCGUGGCCAUAUCAGGAAGAGCGGACUGCUCUGGGGCGGCAGCGGGCUGCUCUGGGACUGACUCACGGGCUGGAGCGGGCUCUGGAGCGGACUCACUGGCUGGAACGACCCCUAUGUUCACAGACACUGGAGGGGCGGCCAUCUUGCCCGUGGGCACUGGCAAAGCGGCCAUCUUGUCCAUAGCAUCCAGAGAGUUUGAGUGCGUACCAACUGGCGAGCUUGAGUGCGUAGCAACCGGCGGCCUUGAGUGCGUAGCAACCGGCGAGCUUGAGUGCGUUGCAACCGGCGGGCUUGAGUGCGUUGUCACCGGCGGGCUUGAGUGCGUUGCAACCGACGAACUUGAGGGCGUUGCAACAGACGAACUUGAGGGCGUAGCGGCCGGCGGAGGCUUAGGAGUGCCAGCCGCUCGUACUGAAGUCAGCAGUGGAUCAGCCACACUGGAACGCAACCCACUCCGCUCCCAAACAGAUCCAGAGACGUGAUGUGAUUCUAGAAGAUCAGCGGAGAUGGGACGUGACUCAGGAAGUUUAACUUGGACUUGACUUGGCUCACGAAGAUCAGCGGAGACUUGACUUGGUGUUGUAGUACUGGUGGCUGCCAUUUUAUGCGUGUUCUCUGGCGCGGCGGCCAUUACAUGAUUCGGCGAGGUGUCGUAUUUCUCCGCGACACCCACAGUAAAUGGAGAGCCCACAGUCAUUAAAGCAAACUCCAAAAAAUGACUAAGAGAGGAACGAGGUCCCUCACGAAUCAAUUGUGUCUUAAGUGGCUGAACGAAGCGAGACUCAGGCGGGGAUCCAUUUGCUAGCUUUAUUAUAAAAGAACGUGGUCGUGCAGGCAGGGUCAAAGCAGGGGCAAACAGGAACAACAGGGACAGGCAGAAUCGUAGUCAGGAUACAGGCAAUAGUCAGGGCAGGCAGAAAACACUCACAGAACAGUAUACCAGGCAAGGAUCAAAGGUAGGCAGCAACGGGUCGAUAACGGGUAACAGACAGGAUCGGAAACAAACAGGCAGACAGGAAAUAAACGCUCAGAAUUGCAACAAGGGUUAACAAGACUUCGCCAUGAGGUGGUGUGUGUGUGUGUCUUUUAUAGUCCAGGUAAUGAUUUGCAGGUGUGUGUGGCAAUUGGUGAUUGGAGUGGAGUGUGCAUGUGAUUGGAUGGGAGGAUUGUGGGAAAUGGAGUCCAGGAACUGACAGGAACAGACGGUGAUCGUGACACUUCCUAGCAUUGUUCGGGAAGCAGACACACUCUGUCAGUUUAAAUCUAGACUAAAAACGCAUCUCUAUAACUUGGCAUACACAUAACACAUUAUCAAUUUAUUUUUUCAAAUCCGUUAAAGGAUUAUUAGGCUGCAUAAAUUAGGUCAGCCGGAACCGGGAACACUUCCUAUAACACCAGAUGUACUCGUUACAUCAGAAGAAGAAUGGCAUCUACGCUAAUAUUAGUCUUUCUGUUUAUCCCGAGGUUCACCGUAGUCAACCGGAUCCGGGCCGUAUCCAGGUGAGACCAAGGACCUGCACCUUGACACGACCACAACGCAGCCCUGAAGUAUCAGCAGAGACUGAGUCAACUAGAUCAUCCCCUGUGAAGGCCUCAUCGACACGACAGCCACGACACAGUUCCUCAACAACCGUCCAUACCGGCGUGAUGAAUACGAUCCUCAAUUGGAUGGAACUGAAAUAAAUACUUUUAAUGUUGCGAUCCUAUUGGACUUAUGAUAGCAACCUGAAUUGUAACAAAGCACUGUUGGCCAGAGGAGAACUGGCACCCCGACUAAGCCUGGUUUCUCCCAAGGUUUUUUUCUCCAUUUUAACACCAAUUUGCCACUUGUCUGCCACCUGAUGUCACCUGAUGGAGUUUGGGUUCCUUGCCGCUGUCGCCUCUGGCUUGCUUAGUUGGGGACACUUGACUUGACAUUUUGAUAUUCAACAGUGCUUUUGAUCUGCCUGCAUUGACACUAUUCUUUAAGAGCUGCUGUGCAGCCAAACAAUGUACCAGUUAUCAAUGUAAAGCUGCUUUGACACAAUCUACAUUGUAAAAAGCGCUAUAUAAAUAAAGGUGACUUGACUUGA